rnacentral:lncRNA from 1 species
UUUUUUGAUAUUUAGGAUAGACAGGGUCUCAAACUCCUGAGCUCAAGCAAUCCUUCUGCCUCAGCCUCCGAAAGUGCUGGGAUUAUGGGCAUGAGCUACUGCACCUGGCCUUGUUUUUAAAUAGAUAAUUAAGUAAAGAGUCAUUUAAGAAUGUUUUCCAAGUUCAAAGAGAACAAAACUGUGAUAACUGUAUAGCAUGAGAUAACUUCUUUAUGGGCAUUUAGAUUGUUUCCAUUUUGAAGAACAUUUAAAUGCAAGUCAUUGGAUGGGCAUAUGCAUAUGUUUUCAUUUAUCUUGGGUAGAUUUCAAAGAGUGGAAUUGCUGGAUCAUAUGGUAACAUGAACUGUUUAAGAAGCUGCCAACUUUUUUCCAAAGUUUGUGUAUUAAUUUACAUUUUCAUCAACAAUAUUUGAAGGUUCCAGUUUUUCAUAUUUUCGCCAAUAUUUGUAUUAUCAGUCUCUUUGAUUAUAGUUGUUCUAGCGGUAUAUAGUAGUGUGGUUUUUCUUUUAUGGAUAGUGUUUUUGGUGUUAUAUGUAAAAAUUCUUUGCCUAACUCAAAGGUCACAGAUAUUUUUUUCUGUUUUCUGUUAGAAGUUUUAUAGUUUUUAAGCUUUAUGUUUAGGUCCAUUUUGAGUUAAUUUUUUUAUGUGUGGUAUACGGUAAGGGUCUUCAUUCUUUGCUUUGCAUGUGGGUAUCCAGUUGUUCCUGCAUCAUUUGUUGAAGACUAUUCUCCACCCACUGAAUUACCAUGACAUCUUUGUCAAAAAUUAAUUGACCAUAAAUAUAAGAGUUUAUUUCCUGACUUUCUUGUUUCAUUGGUCUAUAUGUUUAUCCUUAACACUGAUUCCACCCUGUGGUGGUCUCUGCUGCUCUGUUUAUUUUUCUGUAGUCUUUUUUUUUUUCCGUUUUUUCUUACAAAGUGGAUAAUUUGUAUUGAGCUGCCUGUAAGUUCUCUGAUUCAUCUGUCAUCUCAUAACCGCUGUUGCCCCUGUAGUGAUUUGUUGGUUUUGGUUACUGUACUUUUUAACUCUAGAAUUUCUGUUUGUCUUUUGUUUAUAUGUUUGGUUUUGUUUCUUUAUCAAGAUUCUCCUUUUUUUGUAGUCAUUAUAUUUUACUUUAAUUCUUUAAACAUGGUUGUCUUUAAUUCUUUGGACAUAUCUAUAAUAAUGAAUUUGAAGUCUUUGCUAAGUUCACCUCAAAGUCAAUUUAUGUUAACUGCUUUUCCUCCCAAAUAUGUAUCACACUUUCCUGUUUCUUUGCAUGUUUUGAACUAUUUUAUUGAAAACUGAACCUCAUAGAUAAUGUAUUGUAG